GUUUGGUCACUGACCGCUUCCUGCAGUUACCCAAACAGUUCUUCUUUCAGUGAGGCCCACAGGGAUGUUACUGACCUGUGAACUGUCAGUGAGCCAGCAACUGAACUUGAAGCACAGCUGACUAUAUUGGCCUAACAUUGUAACGUCACUUUAAAUUAUGUUUAACCCCUUAAUGUCUGAUCAGAAGAGUAAAUCUAAAACGUUAACCCCUUACUAUCUGAUCAGAAAACAAAUCUAAUGUUUAACCCCUUACUGUCUUAUCAGAACACAAAUCUAAUGUUUAACCCCUUACUGUCUGAUCAAAAGAGUAAAUCUAAAACGUUAACCCCUUACUGUAUGAUCAGAAAACAAAUCUAAUGUUUAACCUCUUAUUAUCUGAUCAGAAAAAAAUCUAAUGUUUAACCCCUUAUUAUCUGAUCAGAGGAGCAAAUCUAAUGUUUGACCCCUUACUGUCUGAUCAGAAAACAAAUCAGAAAACAAAUCUAUUGUGGGCUAUGAUAUUAACCCCCCUGCCUGAUCUAUGAUAUUAU